rnacentral:tRNA from 1 species
GGACCCAUAGCUCAGUUGGUAAGAGCAGCUGACUCAUAAUCAGAAGAUCGUGGGUUCAAUCCCCUCUGGGUCCA